AGAAAUAGUCUCACAUAAAUGGUAUUGUUUCUUUUUGAGGAAACACACCUAAAAGAUAUUAUUAAUAAUGAUAAUUAAUUGUAUUAUGGGUCCACCAUGUGAUGGGGUAUUGUCCAUAAAUAAAAAUGAACUAAUUUGGUGGACGUUCCAAAAUAACAAAAUAGACUAUUUUUUGUGAACAAAUGGAGUAAUUCAUAAGUCUCAAAACUCACAAUCCACAUCAACAAACCUAAAAAAAUAACAUUAUAAAAAUAAAAAAUAAAAUCACAACACUAAUUCAAAGCUAUCAAAAAAAUCAGUCCACCACAAAUUUAACGGGUAUAGUUAAAUUUAUAAAUUAUACUCCCUCCGUCCCAUUAAAAGUAGUAUGUAUUUUAUUUUGGGUCGUCUCAC
rnacentral:lncRNA from 1 species